GCCGGAGUGGCGGAAUUGGUAGACGCGCACGACUCAAACUCGUGUAUCGAAAGGUGUGGGGGUUCGAGUCCCCCCUCCGGCA
rnacentral:tRNA from 1 species